rnacentral:ncRNA from 1 species
AUAAAGGUUGCUUUUAUAGAUUUAAAAUUUGAUUAUGAUUUUUGAAUGGUUAAAAUGGUAUUAUUUAAGUUUAAUUUAUUUUGUGGGCAAUAUCUUAUUACCCCGGCAAUGAGUUAUUUGUAUAAUACUUGUUCCAGAAUAAUCGGCUAGGCUUGUAAAAAUUUAAACUUUAUUUUGUUUUAAUUAUAAUUUUUUUUGAUUUUUAGUUUUAAUAAUUAUAGGUUAAAUUUUAAUUAUUAUUGGUAAAAAAUUAUAAUUUUAAGAUUUGAAUAAAUGAAUUAGAUUAGUACCUAAUUAGGCAAAAAUUAAAAGAGCAGUAGUAAAGUUGUAUUUAAACUGAAAGAAUAUUGGCAGAUUUUCUAAAUUAUCUUUGGAGGCUGAGUAAUAAUUGAGAGCCCUCAUUAACUACUUUGAAAGUUAGUCUCAUGUAUGAUCGUUUAUUUUAUACUUAAGGUAUAUAAUAAAAAAUUUUUAUUUAUAAAAAUAGAUAUAUAUUUGGUUUAUGUAAGAGUGUAAUUUGGCCUACAAUAAAUUGUGUUUGUGGAUUUAUAAUUUGGUGUUAUAAUUAAAAUGUAAAAGACAGUAAAAAAAUUUUAAUGUUUUUUUGAAGAUUAUUUAGAUGUGGUACAAAUCAUCCAUCAAUUGCCCAAAGGGGAGUAAGUUGUAGUAAAGUAGAUUUAGGGGAACCUGAAUCUAAUAAUU